CCUUGUACACACCGCCCGUCACACCACGAGAGUUGUCUGUACCCAAAGUCGUUUUAGCUAACCCGCAAGGGAGGCGGAUGCCUAAGGUAUGGGAAUGAUUGGGGUG
rnacentral:rRNA from 1 species